rnacentral:misc_RNA from 1 species
UUCCUAUAAGCAAGGGACUCCAUCUGCCCAAAAAAAAUAUGGCAUCCACAACACAGUUAGAACAAGAAGACCAUCAAAUAUGAAAAAGAAAAAAUAAAAAAUCAACUGUUCCAGACAUUCAAAGAGUAGGCAAUACUACAUAGAAAGCUUUAAAUGACUUUACUAAGCACUUUCACAUUAUUAAAAAUAAUAUAAAUGCAGAAUAGACAACAGGUAUGGUUCAAAACUUUUGCACACAAAAGUAACCAUCACUUUCAUAUCUUACCCAGAAAGUUGCCAAGUUUCAACUACUAUAACAUGUGAAAGCUAAAAGCAACAGCUGUGGAAUAGAUUAAAGCAACCAAACUAUAGCAUGUCAGUCAGCAAACUUAAAAAUUCUAAAACAAAUAAUGCAACUUCAAAUUUUUAAGUGCAGAUAUGCGAGAGUCGAUCAUAAUAAUAAUAAAUAAAUAAAUAUUCUUUCAAAUUCCAUGUUCUUAGUUAUUGUAUACACAUAACUGCUAUUUUGUACAGUCUCACUCAAUUGUUCGAUGCCAAAACCUUAGUCAAAUUGUCUUCCUCACCAACUCAAAAUAAAAAUUAACAAAACCAUUACUAAAACUAGAGAUACUUGAGAAUUUUGCUGAACAAGCUACAACAUGAUCAAUUAGCUGCUUGGAUGAAGACAGAGCAGAGUAAGUUUUCCCAAAUCCAGUUUCCUCAUACUUCCCUUCGUUAUUACCCUCAACUCCAACCUCUGUUUCCAUGGAAAAUCCACCACAUGCAACUCAAAUACACAAACAUAGAAGUAUGUGAGUGGUGAAGAAUGAAUCGCCUCAGUUGGAUGAAACUGAAGAAAUCAUGAAAGUGAACAAUUAUGGAAGCUCAAGCGACUAAGCAAUCGAAUGAAUUGAGAGAGAGAGAGAGAGAAACUUAC